GCCAGUGUGGCAUAAUGGUUUGAGUGUUGGACUACAACUCCAGAGGCCAAGUUUUGAUUCCCAGCUCAGCCA